ensembl:lncRNA
GCCUAGAGUUGAUCAAAGGUGAGACGGCUCCCUGGCCCCGUGUCAGGGAGGUUGGCAGCAGGCCUCUGCUCACUGUAGCCUGGAAGAAGUUACAGGCUGGCAGCGCAACCCCGUGCAACAGCUGGGUGGGGGUGAGGCGUGGCUGCUGGACAAGCCAGGGAGGGAAGUUAAUUGGCCUUGACAGGCGCCAGCAGUUAAGCGGCCCUUCUCACCUGCCUAUUGCUCUCCUUACUAACCUUUGCUCGGCCAGGAAUCUCCCCUUCCUCCUCUGCCUGUUCCAGCCCGUCCCAAGCAGCCAAGUCUGAACUCUUAGCUCAUGUCAACCCCCCUGAACUCUGAGCUGAGGCUCCAGCUUCCGCCCGCCCUGCCCUCCUCUGAGUUCACUCCCGAAGCCAUCUCUCCUCAGGAUUUUGGCGGGGGGAGGGUCUAACCUGUACCGCGGUGGGUUUGCUUUUAAGCCUAGGCAAGGUGAUUAAUGUGCAUGCUGUCGUGUCCGACUCUUUGCGACUCCAUGGACUGCAGCCUAUCAGGCUCCUCUGUCCUUGGGGUUCUCCAGGCAUGAAUACUGGAGUGGGUUGCCAUUUCCUUCUCCAGAGGAUCUUCCCGACCCAGGGAUCGAAACUGGGUCUCCUGCAUUGACAGGUGGAUUCUUUACCACUGCACCCCCCACCCCCCCAAAAAAAACACAACCUGAAUUUACCAGAUGCCCUAUCUCCGGCCAGUUACCAAGACAUGCCAACCACACCUGCUCCCACUCAUCCCUUCCCUUGCCCACCAGUGUCUCGGAGAGUCUACAGCAAUGAAACCCACCCAGAAGUCCUGCUCCAAUUGGUUUUCAUGACCAUGUGAUUGACCCUGAAUUGAAACACGAUAAUGGAAUGCUUCUAAAUACACAUUCUUCUUGGAAAAUGUAUGAAGUUUUUUUCUUAAUUUUUUUAAUGGAAUCAGAGGACUUGGUUCUUGGACAGACUGUUGGUGUGAGGAGACACAGACGGGUUUGAUCCCUGGUCUGGGAAGAUCCCACAGGCCAUGGAGCAACUAAACCUGUGUACCACAGCUACUGAGCCUGUGCUCCAGAGUCCAUGCUCUGUGACAAGAGAAGCCGCCGCAACAAGAAGCCCGCGCACUGCAGCUAGAGCGUAGUC